rnacentral:rRNA from 1 species
GUAACAAGGUUUCCGUAGGUGAACCUGCGGAAGGAUCAUUAUCUAUUCCAUGAGGUGCGGUCGCGGCCCUCGGCGGGAGCAACAGCUACCGUCGGGCGGUAGAGGUAACACUUUCACGCGCCGCAUGUCUGAAUCCUUUUUUUACGAGCACCUUUCGUUCUCCUUCGGUGGGGCAACCUGCCGUUGGAACCUAUCAAAACCUUUUUUUGCAUCUAGCAUUACCUGUUCUGAUACAAACAAUCGUUACAACUUUCAACAAUGGAUCUCUUGGCUCUGGCAUCGAUGAAGAACGCAGCGAAAUGCGAUAAAGUGUGAAUUGCAGAAUUCAGUGAAUCAUCGAAUCUUUGAACGCACAUUGCGCCCCUUGGUAUUCCAUGGGGCAUGCCUGUUCGAGCGUCAUCUACACCCUCAAGCUCUGCUUGGUGUUGGGCGUCUGUCCCGCCUCUGCGCGCGGACUCGCCCCAAAUUCAUUGGCAGCGGUCCUUGCCUCCUCUCGCGCAGCACAUUGCGCUUCUCGAGGUGCGCGGCCCGCGUCCACGAAGCAACAUUACCGUCUUUGACCUCGGAUCAGGUAGGGAUACCCGCUGAACUUAA